rnacentral:rRNA from 1 species
AUGGCUCAGAUUGAACGCUGGCGGCAGGCCUAACACAUGCAAGUCGAGCGGUAACAUUUCUAGCUUGCUAGAAGAUGACGAGCGGCGGACGGGUGAGUAAUGCUUGGGAACGUGCCGUAAGGUGGGGGACAACCAUUGGAAACGAUGGCUAAUACCGCAUAAUGUCUACGGACCAAAGGGGGCUUCGGCUCUCGCCUUAUGAUCGGCCCAAGUGGGAUUAGCUAGUUGGUAAGGUAAUGGCUUACCAAGGCGACGAUCCCUAGCUGGUUUGUAGAGGAUGGAUCAGCCACACUGGAACUG